CUACACUAGAUCGCUCGUCGGCAGCGUCAGAUGUGUAUAAGAGACAGGUCUUGGGAAGAGUAGCAGCACAGUGUGGUGAGAAUCCGCACCGCCUUAUAAACCAGGGUUCCUCGGCACUGUUUAUCAGCCGAGGGUUAGCCGGUCCUAAGGUCAUUCUUAACCGAAAUGAUCGAAAGGGAAAUGCGUUAAUAUUCGUAUGCCUCCUAUACAUAAAAUGGUGACGGCUUGGGCAAAACUUGUGGAUCAUAUGUCAGGUCCACUUGCACUAAAUUUCUGGAGAACUGUCACAGUGAGAAGGAAAUAAAGUCCCAGGUCCCAUGAAAAGCCGUAUAGGAUGACCGUACCGAGAACUGAAACAGGUGUUUUAGGGUGAGUAGCCUAAGGCGUAUCGGAUACAAGUAUCGCGAGGGAACUCGGCAAAAUGGCUCCGUAACUUCGGGAGAAGGAGUGCCAGAUCAGAGAUGAUCUGGUCGCAGUGACUAGGGAGCUCCGACUGUUUAAUAAAAACAUAGGGGACUGCCAGAUCGAAAGGUUGUGUAUAGUCCCUGAAUCCUGCUCAGUGCUGGUAUCUUAAAUCGGGUUUCAACCUGACGAAGGACCAGUAAACAGCGGGGGUAACUAUGACCCUCUUAAGGUAGCGUAAUACCUUGUCGCUUAAUUGGCGACUUGCAUGAAUGGUCCAACGAGGGCUCCACUGUCCCCGCGAUACGUCCGGCGAAAUUGACUUUACUGGCGCACAGUCCAGUACAUUCUACCCGCAAGCGAAGACCCCGUAGAGCUUUACUGCAGCCUGUCGUUGCAUAGUCGCUUUCCAUGUACUGUGUAGGUGGGAGACGUUGAUCUCUGGGACGUCAGUCCUGGAAGUAGUCGAAAAUAGAGACACCACCCUUGGAGAGUAACUAUGCUAACUGUUUAUCAGGACACCGAUUGGUGGGCAGUUUGGGUGGGGCGCCACGCGCUCGAAAACCUAACAAGCGUGCCCAAUGGUCAGCUUAAGUGGUUCAGCACUCCACUGUUAACUGUAAGGGGAAAAGCUGGCUUGACGUGGAUCCGCACAAUAAGGAUCGACGAUGCGAAAGCAGGGCCUAACGAACCUACCAACCUUAUUUCUGAGGGUGGUAGAUAACAGAAAAGUUACCUUGGGGAUAAUUGAGUUGUCACCAGCAAGAGCUCACAUCGACCUGGUGGCUUGCUACUUCGAUGUCGUCUCUUCCUAUCCUGGGCCUGCAGCAGGGCCCAAGGGUGGGGUUGUUCGCCCAUUAAAAGGGAUCGUGAGAUGGGUUUAGACCGUCGUGAGACAGGUUUGUUGCUUGGUGGUAGAAUCGCAUAAGGUGUUUGAUGGAAGGGGUCCUUUAGUACGAGAGGAACGAGGGCUCGGGGCCACUAGUUUACCAGUUGUCUGACAAGGCAAUGCUGGGUAGCCACGCCCUGAUGGAUAAGAGCUGAAAGCAUCUAAGCUCGAAGCCGCCCCAGAGACGAGACACCUCAGAACGCUCGUAAAAGACGAGUUUGAUAGACUGCGGAUGUAAGUACGAAGCUUCGGCGACGUAUUCAGUCCAGCAGCACUAACUGUUCGAGCAUCUUUUUC
rnacentral:rRNA from 1 species